AGAGUUUGAUCCUGGCUCAGGAUGAACGCUAGCGACAGGCUUAACACAUGCAAGUCGAGGGGCAGCGGGGGUAGCGAUACCCGCCGGCGACCGGCGCACGGGUGAGUAACGCGUAUGCAACUUGCCUAUCAGAGGGGGAUAACCCGGCGAAAGUCGGACUAAUACCGCAUGAAGCAGGGGCCCCGCAUGGGGGUAUUUGCUAAAGAUUCAUCGCUGAUAGAUAGGCAUGCGUUCCAUUAGGCAGUUGGCGGGGUAACGGCCCACCAAACCGACGAUGGAUAGGGGUUCUGAGAGGAAGGUCCCCCACAUUGGUACUGAGACACGGACCAAACUCCUACGGGAGGCAGCAGUGAGGAAUAUUGGUCAAUGGCCGAGAGGCUGAACCAGCCAAGUCGCGUGAGGGAUGAAGGUUCUAUGGAUCGUAAACCUCUUUUAUAAGGGAAUAAAGUGCGGGACGUGUCCCGUUUUGUAUGUACCUUAUGAAUAAGGAUCGGCUAACUCCGUGCCAGCAGCCGCGGUAAUACGGAGGAUCCGAGCGUUAUCCGGAUUUAUUGGGUUUAAAGGGUGCGUAGGCGGCCUUUUAAGUCAGCGGUGAAAGUCUGUGGCUCAACCAUAGAAUUGCCGUUGAAACUGGGGGGCUUGAGUAUGUUUGAGGCAGGCGGAAUGCGUGGUGUAGCGGUGAAAUGCAUAGAUAUCACGCAGAACCCCGAUUGCGAAGGCAGCCUGCCAAGCCAUGACUGACGCUGAUGCACGAAAGCGUGGGGAUCAAACAGGAUUAGAUACCCUGGUAGUCCACGCAGUAAACGAUGAUCACUAGCUGUUUGCGAUACACUGUAAGCGGCACAGCGAAAGCGUUAAGUGAUCCACCUGGGGAGUACGCCGGCAACGGUGAAACUCAAAGGAAUUGACGGGGGCCCGCACAAGCGGAGGAACAUGUGGUUUAAUUCGAUGAUACGCGAGGAACCUUACCCGGGUUUGAACGCAUUCGGACCGAGGUGGAAACACCUUUUCUAGCAAUAGCCGUUUGCGAGGUGCUGCAUGGUUGUCGUCAGCUCGUGCCGUGAGGUGUCGGCUUAAGUGCCAUAACGAGCGCAACCCUUGCCACUAGUUACUAACAGGUAAAGCUGAGGACUCUGGUGGGACUGCCAGCGUAAGCUGCGAGGAAGGCGGGGAUGACGUCAAAUCAGCACGGCCCUUACAUCCGGGGCGACACACGUGUUACAAUGGCGUGGACAAAGGGAGGCCACCUGGCGACAGGGAGCGAAUCCCCAAACCACGUCUCAGUUCGGAUCGGAGUCUGCAACCCGACUCCGUGAAGCUGGAUUCGCUAGUAAUCGCGCAUCAGCCAUGGCGCGGUGAAUACGUUCCCGGGCCUUGUACACACCGCCCGUCAAGCCAUGGGAGCCGGGGGUACCUGAAGUCCGUAACCGAAAGGAUCGGCCUAGGGUAAAACUGGUGACUGGGGCUAAGUCGUAACAAGGUAGCCGUACCGGAAGGUGCGGCUG
rnacentral:rRNA from 1 species